UAGCUUAGUGGUUAAGGCUAUGGAUCGCCAAUCCGCGGACGGCGGGUUCGAUUCCCGU
rfam:Aedes albopictus isolate Foshan contig88194, whole genome shotgun sequence.